GGGAGGUUGCUGAGACAUGCUGCAGCCUGCUGUGAAUGGAGAGCUGCGCUGUGAAGGAAUCAUAGGAUCAUAUAAACAUAAAGUUGGAAGGGAUCUCGAGAAGUCAUCAAGUCCACCAAGUCUUCACUGAUACCAGCUACGAACAAGUAAAUUAGAGGAUGUAACCACAUAAUCUAUUUGAUCACAGGACGCAGCCAUGAGAAAAAGCAAGGUGAUACCAACAAAAGAUGUAUAAGUCAUUGGAAAAAUGUAACAAAGGUCUCCCUUUCAAGAAUUGUCUAUAGGAAAUUCAAGCUGGACUGAAUAAAGUGAGUCCAUCUUUCAGACAAAAAAAUGGAUCAUUCUGCAAAGCUUUAUAGGUGAGGUGAUGGAGGACCAAGAAUAAAAACUUGAAGUUAAUAUCAGCUUCUAAACUGAGGUUUUUGUAAUUAGAGUAAUAAAAUGCUAACAUUAAAUUUCAUAGGGUUGGUUUUUGGAUACACAUUGUUCUGUGAAAGAGUUAUUUUUUCA